rnacentral:rRNA from 1 species
GUGGGGAAUCUUGCGCAAUGGCCGAAAGGCUGACGCAGCGACGCCGCGUGUGGGAUGAAGCAUUUCGGUGUGUAAACCACUGUUGCCCGGGACGAACAGCUUCUUUCGAGGAGCCUGACGGUACCGGGUGAGGAAGCACCGGCUAACUCCGUGCCAGCAGCCGCGGUAAUACGGAGGGUGCGAGCGUUGUCCGGAAUCACUGGGCGUAAAGGGCGCGUAGGUGGCGCGGGCAGUCAACGGUGAAAGUUCGGGGCUCAACCCUGAAUCGGCCGUCGAUACUCCCGUGCUUGAGCACUGUAGAGGCAGAUGGAAUUCCGGGUGUAGCGGUGGAAUGCGUAGAGAUCCGGAAGAACACCGGUGGCGAAGGCGGUCUGCUGGGCAGUAGCUGACACUGAGGCGCGACAGCGUGGGGAGCAAACAGGAUUAGAUACCCUUGUAGUCC